UACGGGGGGAGCAAGCGUUGUUCGGAUUUACUGGGCGUAAAGGGCGCGUAGGCGGCGCAACAAGUCACUUGUGAAAUCUCCGGGCUUAACCCGGAGCGGCCAAGUGAUACUGUCGUGCUAGAGUGCGGAAGGGGCUACUGGAAUUCUCGGUGUAGUGGUGAAAUGCGUAGAGAUCCGGAGGAACACCAGUGGCGAAGGCGGCUGGCUGGACCUGACCUGACGCUGAGGCGCGAAGGCGUGGGGAGCGAACGGG
rnacentral:rRNA from 1 species